GCUGAGCGGGCCACGGGACUGGAAGGGCUUGAAGCUCUGGGCCUAACGGGAGCCAGGGCAGGGCAUGGCGCCCGCCAGGACUGGACGAGCAUGCCCUAGUGGGGAGCUAACAUCCUGCCCGCAUGCCCAGGAGGAGGUGUUUGGGGAGAGACUGAGACAAUCCAUCACGUGGCCUAAGGACCCUGCAACAGGAAGGGGAUGCAGGCCAGAGUGACUCCACAGUCUGAACCCUCCUAUGUGACCAGAACCCUGACACCAGCACAGCCCAGGGCAGGGAGGAAGUGCCUUCGACUCUGGUGACCUCGAAGGGCAGCAGGAUGGGGCACUGGUCAGCAGGUCUGUCCACCCUGGACAGGUCAUGGUCCUCUUCCAUCAGGAGCCCACAGCGUGCUGUAGGCUUCUGAAAAAUGUCAACCCGGUGGCUAGGGCUGCCCAGGCCUGAAAGUGUGGACGGAUCCCUGGAGGGAUCAGGAUUAGACAACAAAGCUGAGAGUGGCCCCGACUGACAGGUACACCUUCUGAAUGAACCUUCCUUCAUGAGAGACCCCCAACCUCCCAGCCCAAAUGUGAGCCCCAAGGCAGAUGCCACCAGCCAGCCGGAUCCCUGGGGACCAGUACUCACUGCCCUGAACAAGCCACGGGAACUGGACAGGCGGGAAAUGUCCGAACACACCCCUGAAGGGCGUGGGCCGGAUCAGCAAGGCAUGAGGUAUUUUGGCCUGGGGACACGGAUGGUUAAAGUACUUCACUGACCACCCUGGCCUGGAAAUGAAACAGGAAGGAAGCCAGAGCCCCUACGCCAGGCCCUCCCUCACUGAGGUCACCAGGGAGCAAACCCUUCUGUGAUGCAAGUUUUUUCUUUCAGAGCCUUCUAGAUUCACAGUGAGUAAAACUGAGCAGACUGUGGUGGACAGAAGUUAGGUGAGCAGGGUCUGAACACAGGACGGAGCUGGCGCUGAAGACCUGUUCACCUCCAUCUAGGAGUCUGGCCCAGGGACGUACAGCACAGAGCAACUCCUUCUUCUUGGGAAGAAGAAAAGCUUGCUCUCCAGGACCUGGCCAUGUUGUAACUGCCCACGAGGGGGAGCCACCAAAUCCCACUGAAGAUGUUGAAAUCGAGGCUCCUGGGGGGACCUAACUUGCCCAGAGACACGUGGCUGGUACACUAGGCUGCUGGACGGAAGCCAGCUCCUUCUUGGUCGGUGGCCGUGUAAGGCUCUGCAUGCACCGUGAAGGACAUGUUAUAAAGAGAGGGGACAGAUCAGAGCAGAGUGAGCAAGAAGAAGGAGACUAGAGAGAGAAAAUGCACCCGCACCCCUGCACACACACCCUGCCCUGGUCUACAGCCCCGCAUGGAUCUGCCAGCCCUCUGGGAUUUGGUUAACCCCUCCCGUUCUGGACAUUCAGACUCAGGGAUUCUCUGCGGGGCUCAGUCAUCUUGGACUUUUAGUGAAUGCCUCUGGACGAUUCUAACCAUAAAGUGGGUUUAAAAAACACCACAUGGGCUAGCCACGAGUGAGCGCAGUCAUGCAGUGCUCUGCGAUGCUGAGCCAUGAGGGCUGGUUCCACGUUCCCGUCCUGAGGUCUCCCUGUUCAUGCUGGGCGUGUGUGCAUACAUGUGUGUGCACGCCGUAAUCCUGGCUGGCGGGACUGAGGACAGAAUUGUUACAGGUAGACAUUAUGAGCAGGGAGUCCCAACCAAGGGGACAUCUGACACAUCCAUCACUGUCACCAGGGAUGGCAGCUAGACCCUGGGUGCCAAGGGAGGGGAGGUGACCUGCCUGUGUUCUUCCCUCCCGCCGUCCCACGCACGCACACAGGAGCUCACCUGGAUGCUUGGCCAACUUCCUAUUUCCCCCCAGGGACAGUAACUGACACAGGCAGAGUCAUCCCCAUGCAGAUGCUCAUGGCCUCAGCGUCCACACUGGGCAUGUGUGAUCCAGUCCUCAGAGUCCCCACCUGAUGGAAGUACACAGGAGCAUCAGAAAGCCCACGAGUUCCACAGAGGAGUCCGCUACAAUGACAGGCCCGUCCUCCCAAAUCUUCGUGACGAGCCCCAGGGUGAAAGGACCGUCUAACCCCAGUUCCACACGCUGUCCUCUAACAGC